UACGGGGGGGGCAAGCGUUGUUCGGAAUUACUGGGCGUAAAGGGCUCGUAGGUGGCCAACUAAGUCAGACGUGAAAUCCCCAGGCUCAACUUGGGAACUGCGUCUGAUACUGGAUGGCUUGAAUUCGGGAGAGGGAUGCAGAAUUCCAGGUGUAGCGGUGAAAUGCGUAGAUAUCUGGAGGAACACCGGUGGCGAAGGCGGCAUCCUGGACCGGUAUUGACACUGAGGCGCGAAAGCCAGGGGAGCAAACGGG
rnacentral:rRNA from 1 species